CUGUAAGCCUGAAAUUUGAGUUCUAAAAUACCAUUAUCCACAUAACUAAUAUAUCAAAGCACAAACUAAUGGAUUGAUCAAUGAAACUGUUGGUAUCUCCACAACUUUUCAAUUAAAUAGAAAGUUUCAAUCAAACAGGAUACUGAGUGUGCCUACUGCUCCUCAAGACAAUGA